rnacentral:rRNA from 1 species
UACGUAGGGUGCGAGCGUUGUCCGGAAUUAUUGGGCGUAAAGGGCUCGUAGGCGGUUUGUCGCGUCGGGAGUGAAAACUCAGGGCUUAACCCUGAGCCUGCUUCCGAUACGGGCAGACCAGAGGUAUGCAGGGGAGAACGGAAUUCCUGGUGUAGCGGUGAAAUGCGCAGAUAUCAGGAGGAACACCGGUGGCGAAGGCGGUUCUCUGGGCAUUACCUGACGCUGAGGCGCGAAAGCGUGGGGAGCGAACAGG